UGCCAAAAUCCUUUUGAUGUAAUCUCAAU
rnacentral:sRNA from 1 species